UACGUAGGGUGCAGGCGUUAAUCGGAAUUACUGGGCGUAAAGCGUGCGCAGGCGGUUCGUUAAGUUCGUUGUGAAAGCCCUGGGCUCAACCUGGGAACUGCAGUGGAUACUGAGAAGCUAGAGUGUGUCAGAGGAUGGUGGAAUUCCCGGUGUAGCGGUGAAAUGCGCAGAUAUCAGGAAGAACCCCUAUGGCGAAGGCAGCACUCUGGGACGGUACUGACGCUGAGACGCGAAAGCGUGGGGAGCGAACAGG
rnacentral:rRNA from 1 species